CUACUACUCCCUCCGUCCGGAAAUACUUGUCGCAUAAAUAGAUAAAAAUAGAUGUAUUUAAGAACUGAAAUACGUCUAGAUACGUCCAUUUCGCUGACAAGUAUUUUCGGACAGAGGGAGUAGCAU
rfam:Triticum aestivum genome assembly, contig: Triticum_aestivum_CS42_TGACv1_scaffold_434179_5DL